AAAGGAAUAGACGGGGACCCGCACAAGCAGCGGAGCAUGUGGUUUAAUUCGAUGCAACGCGAAGAACCUUACCAGGGCUUGACAUCCCUCUGACCGGUGUAGAGAUACACCCUUCUCUUCGGAGACAGAGGAGACAGGUGGUGCAUGGUUGUCGUCAGCUCGUGUCGUGAGAUGUUGGGUUAAGUCCCGCAACGAGCGCAACCCUUGUCUUUAGUUGCUAACAGGUAAGGCUGAGCACUCUAGAGAGACUGCCGGUGAUAAACCGGAGGAAGGUGGGGAUGACGUCAAAUCAUCAUGCCCUUUAUGUCCUGGGCUACACACGUGCUACAAUGGUCGGUACAAUGGGCGGCGACCUAGUGAUAGGAAGCGAAUCCCACAAAGCCGAUCCCAGUUCGGAUUGCAGGCUGCAACUCGCCUGCAUGAAGCCGGAGUUGCUAGUAAUCGUGGAUCAGAAUGCCACGGUGAAUGCGUUCCCGGGUCUUGUACACACCGCCCGU
rnacentral:rRNA from 1 species